UGUAUUGCUUUGUCUCCCAGGUCCAAGUGCAGAGGCACGAUCUUGGCUUACUGCAACCUCUGCCUCCUGGGCUCAAGCAAUCCUCUCACCUCAGCCUCCCAAGUAGCUUGGACUACAGGUGAUUCUAAGUAUGACUUGCUAUGUAAAGAAGAAUUUAUUGAACUCAAAGACAUAUUCUCUGUGAAACUGAAACGGCGUUGUUCUGUUAAACAGCAGAGAAGUGGUACUUUAUUAGGUAUCACACUCUUCAUCUGCUUGAAAAAGGAACAAAAUAAACUAAAGAAUUCUACACUUGAUCUUAUUAAUUUAAGUGAAGACCACUGUGACGUAUGGUUUAGACAGUUCAAGAAAAUAUUGGCAGGCUUUCCAAACAGACCGAAGUCAUUAAAAAUACUCCUUAACCCCCAAAGUCACAAAAAAGAAGCUACCCAGGUUUAUUAUGAGAAGGUUGAACCUCUGUUGAAGCUUGCAGGAAUAAAAACUGAUGUAACAAUGUUGUCUGUGUUGGUGGAGAUGGAUCUGCUAGCGAAGUAGCCCAUGCUUUGCUUCU
rnacentral:sRNA from 1 species